GACGAACGCUGGCGGCGUGCUUAACACAUGCAAGUCGAACGAUGAAGCCGGAGCUUGCUCUGGCGAAUUAGUGGCGAACGGGUGAGUAACACGUGAGUAACCUGCCCUUGACUCUGAGAUAACUGCUAGAAAUGGUAGCUAAUACCGGAUACGACCCUCGGAGGCAUCUCCAGGGGGUGGAAAGAAUUUCGGUCAAGGAUGGACUCGCGGCCUAUCAGCUAGUUGGUGAGGUAAAGGCUCACCAAGGCGACGACGGGUAGCCGGCCUGAGAGGGUGACAGGCCACACUGGGACUGAGACACGGACCAAAGUCCUACGGGAGGCAGCAGUGGAGAAUAAUGCACAAUGGGCGCAAGCCUGAUGCAGCAACGCCGCGUGAAGGAUGACGGCCUUCGGGUUAUAAACCUCUUUUAGCAGGGAAGAAGCGAAAGUGACGGUACCUGCAGAAAAAGCACCGGCUAACUACGUGCCAGCCGCCGCCGUAA
rnacentral:rRNA from 1 species